rnacentral:lncRNA from 1 species
GGACAGGAAAGGGUGGAGCCUGGCUGCACCUCUCUUAGACCCUCCAUUUAAUGGCUGACCCCCACUGGGGAAGGGUCUCUAGUUGGAGAUCUUUCUCUUGUGAAGUCUUUCCUGUGAGCCUCAAUCUUCAGAGAUAGUAUUUCAACAGUGUUGUGCCUAGGUCUGCUGCCUUGCCCCUCGCAGUGUUUGUGUGCUAUCUCCAGCCUUGUUAACAGAAGACCAAUUUGCUGCUAAUGCCUCACCCUGACUUUCCUGCACCACCCAGUGCUCAUUUUCACCAGAGAAGCUGCAGGUGACUUCCAAGCAGGAUGCCUUGGCCAGCUCCAGCCUCCUUUGCAGCAGAGGUAUAGGUCCUGCAACAGAUUCACAUGGCUCUGAUGGGGACUCCAGAACGAUCUAUACAACUGUACGGGAACUGCUGAAUCACAGCCUGAAGCUCUGAUUGAUCAGCUGAGACAAGCACUGAGUGAAGGCAACCCACCUGUGUGACUGGAAGGGCUGGAGCCUGGCUCCACCUCUCCUGGACCCCAUUUAAGGGCUGACUGCCACUGGGGAAGGAUCUUUUUCUGGAUAUUGCUCUUCUUGGAGUUUUUCCUGCAAGCCUACAACAGC